GAUGAUGGAUAAUAUGGGAUGUGAAUCUCUGCAUCCCAAGAGGGACAGCAGUGAAAAUGCAAAGGAAGUUGGGACCAGAUCCUGAAAGGAAAGGUUGAAUUUUCUGUUUAGUCUAGACAAAUACCAAUUAAGAAUUGAUCUGACAGUCAUAUCCAAAUCUUCAAGGAGCUGCCACAAAGAUAAAACCAGUUUGUUUUUCUGCUGCUUCCAGAGCCAAGAACAAGUUGACCCCUUGUGCUGUCUUCUACCUCCUGAAGGAGAAAGUCGUCAACAAGGUGAGUUAGGAAUUUCCUGGAAGCCCUGUGCUUGGCAGAGUUUGUCUCCCAACAGACAUAGGGUGAUUGCUGUGACUUCAUGCCCCUUUGAAAGAUCUGCAGUUUGCUUUUGGAAGGCAUCAUCCACGUCUUCUUCCUUGAGAGAGU